AUUGAACGCUGGCGGCAUGCCUUACACAUGCAAGUCGAACGGUAGCAGGUUAAGCUGACGAGUGGCGAACGGGUGAGUAAUGUAUCGGAACGUGCCCAGUCGUGGGGGAUAACUGCUCGAAAGAGCAGCUAAUACCGCAUACGACCUGAGGGUGAAAGCGGGGGAUCGCAAGACCUCGCGCGAUUGGAGCGGCCGAUAUCAGAUUAGGUAGUUGGUGAGGUAAAGGCUCACCAAGCCGACGAUCUGUAGCUGGUCUGAGAGGACGACCAGCCACACUGGGACUGACACGGCCCAGAGUCCUACGGGAGGCAGCAGUGGGGAAUUUUGGACAAUGGGCGCAAGCCUGAUCCAGCCAUGCCGCGUGCGGGAAGAAGGCCUUCGGGUUGUAAACCGCUUUUGUCAGGGAAGAAAAGGUUCUGGCUAAUACCUGGGACUCAUGACGGUACCUGAAGAAUAAGCACCGGCUAACUACGUGCCAGCCGCCGCCGUAAGAC
rnacentral:rRNA from 1 species